rnacentral:rRNA from 1 species
UACAGAGGUCUCGAGCGUUGUUCGGAUUCAUUGGGCGUAAAGGGUGCGUAGGUGGCGCCGUAAGUCGGGUGUGAAAUUUCGGAGCUUAACUCCGAAACCGCAUUCGAUACUGCGGUGCUUGAGGACUGGAGAGGAGACUGGAAUUCCUGGUGUAGCGGUGGAAUGCGUAGAGAUCCGGAAGAACACCGGUGGCGAAGGCGGCCUGCUGGGCAGUAGCUGACGCUGAGGCGCGAAAGCGUGGGGAGCGAACAGG